CGCAACCCUUGCCUUUAGUUGCCAGCAGUUCGGCUGGGCGACUCUAAAGGGACUGCCGGUGUUAAACCGGAGGAAGGUGGGGAUGACGUCAAGUCCUCAUGGCCUUUAUGACCAGGGCUACACACGUACUACAAUGGCCGAUCAAAGGGCAGCGACACUGCGAGGUGAAGCCAAUCCCGUAAAAAUCGGUCUCAGUCCGGAUUGGAGUCUGCAACUCGACUCCAUGAAGUUGGAAUCGCUAGUAAUCGUGGAUCAGCAUGCCACGGUGAAUACGUUCCCGGGCCUU
rnacentral:rRNA from 1 species